rnacentral:rRNA from 1 species
UGGGGAAUCGUUCCGCAAUGGACGAAAGUCUGACGGAGCAACGCCGCGUGAGUGAAGAAGGUUUUCGGAUCGUAAAACUCUGUCUUUUGGGGCGAACGUGAGUAUGGUGAACAAUCAUAGUCAGUGACGGUACCAAAGGAGGAAGCCACGGCUAACUACGUGCCAGCAGCCGCGGUAAUACGUAGGUGGCAAGCGUUGUCCGGAAUUAUUGGGCGUAAAGAGCGCGUAGGCGGGAUAGUCAGUCUGUUGUAAAAGUGCGGGGCUCAACCCCGUGAUGGCAAUGGAAACAGCUAUUCUUGAGUGCAGGAGAGGAAAGUGGAAUUCCCAGUGUAGCGGUGAAAUGCGUAGAUAUUGGGAGGAACACCAGUGGCGAAGGCGACUUUCUGGACUGUGUCUGACGCUGAGGCGCGAAAGCCAGGGGAGCGAACGGGAUUAGAUACCCCGGUAGUCCUGGCCGUAAACGAUGGGUACUAGGUGUGGGAGGUAUCGACCCCUUUCCGUGCCGGAGUUAACGCAAUAAGUACCCCGCCUGGGGAGUACGGUCGCAAGACUGAAACUCAAAUGAAUUGACGGGGGUCAUAGCUGUUUCCUG